AAAUGUAGUAGACUAUAAGUAUACAUGAAAAUGCAGGGAGUAUACUAAGUACACUAUGUUUA
ensembl:miRNA gmo-mir-728b gmo-mir-728b